UCUGGGGAUAAAAAGCAGAAAAAUCAGGGCAAAAGCACCUGUAUUCUGGGCUAUAACCACAGCUGGCCCAGAAACCCUAGAACUUUUCUUAGACCUCAAUAGAAAGAUGGGAGACCUGGUCCACAGACCAGCCCUGAUGCACAAAUCCAUCCACAAGGCUUUGAGGGUGUCACUGGGAGCACCUUACUGGUGGGACGGUGCCUUGGGCUGCCGGCCUGGGGUGGGCAUCAGUUUGCUGACUGUGUAUGGGGCUUGUGGCAGUUUUGCUAAUUCUGUUGUGCUGAGGUGCUACAUUUUUCUGGGUCAGAUAUGGAAAUGGGACCUUCCGUUGGCUUCUGCUGGUACUGGUUUUAUUUAUGUCAGUGGCAUCUCCAAGCAGCAUUGAGGGCAUUUUAAAUAAUGACGAUUUUGUUUUCCACCAGCAGGGGUAGUUGUUGAUCUGCAAUAAUUAUGCCGGCAGUUCCUUUCCUCCUCGUUGCGUCUCGGCUUUGCUUCAGAGCUGAGAUCUAGAGAUGACAUGCAGAGUUUGGGUCAAGAAGCCAAACCGAAAUGUCCUUUUCUUCUGGAAUCCAGAGCCUUUGCCGAUGGUGCAGAUGCCCAACUCCCCUUCAGCCGCUCAGAGCAUCUGACAGUGGGGCUGCUCCAAGCCCUGUUCUGUGAGGGGUGGGAUCACGGGAGAGGAGCCAUGGCCAGGACAUGCAGGCAAGGCAUAAAUAUGUGGCAAACAGAUGAAAGAAGUUCUCAAAUAAAAAAAUAAUUCAGAAAUCUAGCACUUUGAAUAUUGUCAUGCCCGAAUUUAGACGCUGAGAUUUACCUCCACCUUCCCACCAGCUUCUGCCCCACUAGAAGCAUGGGAGUAGUGAAGGAUGUGUAGGGCUAUGGGUGAACAUGGAGCAAGUCCAGAUGUCCUCCUGUGUGGCUGUGGGACAGUUUCUGCCCCUCCAGGAUAGUGGUUUGACCAACUCAUCUCCUCCAUGCCAAAAGGAAUCAGCUUCCUGGCUUAAAUCACUAGAAGUGGUGAUUCCACCCCACUGAGUCUUUGUCAGAGGAAGGCAAAAACGUAAAGUUGCUGGGAAGCUGAACAUUUGCUGAAUUUCGAGAGACUUUUAGAAUUAGCUGGUUGAAAUUAUGUUUUUGGGAACAAAUUGAAGACCUUGUAGCUAUCACACAUGGCGAAGGAGUAGGGCCUGACUGCUUUUGUGGGUUGGGUUUAACACUCAUUGAAAUCAAUGGGCUGAGAGUAUUUACAAGUCCCAUUGUAAAAUGGGAGGUGUUUGAUGUUCCUGUGGGUGAGGAUCUGUUUUGGGUUGAGGAGGGGACCCAUGUCUGUGUCGAGGGCUUGCCGAGGGCACGGUGGGUGGGGGUGUGCUAUUAAUGCUAAGCUCCUCCUCAGCACCCAGAGGUUUCUGUUGACCGAAGGCUGUUUGGUUUCUGCUGAGGUCAUUUGAAAGCAGAGACAUCAAACCCUGUGGACUAUGGAGCUUCCUCGGCAAGGUGGCAGGUGCUGGGAUGUCAUCUCAUGUCAUGAGAAACUGAACUGACAGGCAAGAGGCGAAAAUGUUCUCCAGAUACAGCAGAUCUCUGCGCUGUCACGGUGUGGCUGGAGACCAGUUCUUGCACCCCUCCAGUGCCACAUUUAGUGAUGCUUCCUGUUGCUAUUUAUUUUGUUUUGCUUUAUGACAGAACAAAGUUCAUGACAGCGUCAGUCAAACCAGGCCCUGGAAGUUUAAUGAUGUUUUUUCGAGGCAGGAAGAACUUGGAUGCUGCAGAUGUGCUUUUCCCAGGGCUUGAGAGAAGGCAAACCUGCCUUGGCUUGCUGGAGCCACAACUUGCAAUGUUGCCUGUGGAUUUAUUGCUACUCUUUGAUUUAAUCAGCCUGUGUUGUUAGUACCCAGAGGUGUUGACUAAGAUAAGGGUUUUAUUGCGCAAGCUGCUGAUUUGAGUUGUUUCUUACUGCUGCUUAAAGGGAAAAAACAACAGCAAAAACAGGAGCAAGUCAUAGAGCCUUUUCUCUUCCCUUCUCCCCUUGCUCAUCCUGUAGUAACAUGUAGCAGGAAGCAAAACUGGUGGAUUCCAGAGUGACAAGACACCAGCAAUGAUGGAUUAUUGUUUGCAGUAGGGUUCAUUUCACAUACUUGCUGCAAAAUAUUUGCGACACCAGAGACAAAGCAGGUUUAAAUUGAUGCCUGAGCCACACAGGUCUCAAACAAGAGGGGUCAGGAGAUGCAGGAUGACUGCGAUGGGGCUGCCUACUGCCAGCAUCUGAUAGCACAUGUGGAUAUAUCGUGGUGGCAGGUAUGGCACUCAAGUACAAAGUGACGAUGCGCUUUGUAUUUGCCAGUUUGAAGUUCAGCUCAGCCUGGUGCCAUGGGGUCUGUACCCUGUCUGUCACCACUCGUGUCUGCUACCUUCAUUGCAGGAGUUUCUUGAUGCUUUGGUCCAUCAUGGCUAGAUUGGAACAACAUUCUGUGAGAUCAAAGCCAAUGCUGGUGGCUGAGCCUUUAAACUGAGCAGUGUCACUGGUCAGGAUGUGGUCACUCUCAAACCAGAGAGUUUUAAAAAUAUCUGACUGGUAUAGUUACGUCUGCCUCAAUGCUGGAGAAUGGCCUGGGCAUGGUCCAUGUAAUUCUCCUGAUUGUGUGAAAAUCAAAUCAAACCCAUGCCCAGCUAGUGCUAGUAUUGAUUAAUGAACCCUGCUGGCAGACUUGAUUGUUUGCUGAAUUAAUAUAUGUGUCUGGUUCUCGUAAUGACUGUAGUCCUUUGGAACAGAGGCUGUGCUCCUUUUAAUUAGAUGGUCAAAGUUCUAUUAUGUCAGAAUAUUUCUGGGUAUUCAGAAAAUGUCAAUAUAAAGCCAGCCGAUUUCUUGCUGUGCUAAAAAGGCUCUGAACUGAAUAUGCUUUUGUGGCACUGAUGUUCAGACAGUUGCUGCAAAGGAAUUAUGUAGUUUUAGGUUUUCAGCCCCUGGUGUUGUUUCUGUACCCCCAAAGACUUAAAUUGGGGUGAUGGGGUAGAAAAUCAGGAACGUGAAUUCUAACCUAUCUCUAUUGGUCUGAUUUUUAGGGGGACAGUGAUUAACUUUGUACAGAAGAUCUCACCCUGAUGCUAUCCCAGCUUUCAACGGCUCCAUCCAGCCUGCAGCUCUUACUGCCUCUGGAUUGACCUUAAAGCACACAGGAAGGCUGCACAUUGCUGGAGACUUGGCAGGUCAGUGAUGGAGACAGAAGAACCAGGACCAGGGAGAAAACACGUGUGGGACACCGAGCAGGGGCUCUAGGGAUGCCUCGUAUCUUCCAACCCUUGUGGCUUGAGGAGCUGUUGAAUUUAACUGACACGGAGUUUCAAGUGCAGGAGGUGAGAGGCAGGCUGGUCUGCAUUCCCCUGUGCCUGGUGAGCGAGACAGAUGCACGUGGGGUGGGCGGAUGAAGGAGGAGCUGCCCCAAGCCCACCCGGUGCUUCCAUCCAUGGUAGCAGCAGCCCCGGCCAGGGAAUUUCUUCAGCAAGAGAAGGAGGAUCCUGGAAACACGGCUGAUGGGAGCAGGUACCACUUCCAACCCACAGGCCAGCUCCUGCCUGGGAUCCCCAGCCUGCUGUGACCAUCUCAGUGGGGACACCUACCACUUCAGCUGGAAUUAGCUAUUAAGUGGGGUUAAAUGCAACAAAGCAACAUAAAGUAUGAAUAGUAAGUAGUCUCAUGUACUUUUACUGUUCUAUGUUACUCCCAGAUAUCCUGGGCAUCAUUAUACCCCAGCAGGACUGUUCCUGGUCCUGACUGAUGCACAGCAAAGAACUCCUCCAGCAAAUGUCUGGAGGCAGUUUUGCAGGUGUAGGCUGCUUUGAAACACCGGGUCUAAGCAGGAAUCCUCCUCCGCAGCUCCCUGCUUGGGAUUGCAAUGCUCCAACCGCAGCUUAAAGCCAGGCUCUCUGUAUAAACCAUUAAUCAGUGUUACUUGUCCUACACGUGGGCGCUCUAAUAUUUACUUGCAGCAAAAUUGAUACCUGGGAAUUUUGGCACAUUUCUGCUUUGAUGCAAGCCGUUAGGGAAACAAGCCAUCAGCGUGGUCAGAGUGCGAGCCACGGGAAGGGCGAGGAGGAUGGCUUCAGGCAGGUUCAGAUCAAUACAGAUGCCAUUAAGGAGGUGUAUCUUAGCAUCUGUACUGCACUAUAGCCAAGUCUGAGCCAAUAAAUUAGGCAAGGAAUAGCUGCAAUCAGAUUAUGAUUAUGAAGAGGUAUUAAAGUGGGCAAAAUGCCACCCAGCUUGAGAGCUGAUGUGAAUCUCUCACAGACCUGGUUUUGGGAGGGAAGCACCAUUAGCAGGGUUGGAAAUUGCCCAGCCUAUUUGGGAGCAGAUGGGCUCAGAGAAAGGUAUUUUGUCCGGAACGUUGGUGUUCAAUGAAUGAACGCAUCCAUUGACUAAAAUAAGUCUUAUUGCUUAACCCAGAGGCUUUGAAAGAAGUUGUCGUGACCCAGAACAAGGCAUUGAUGGCUGGCAGAUUGAAGCCAGCAUUUCUGUGUGGGAUGAAGCCACAAAACAUGCAAUUUAGAGGUCAGCCAAACUGUACUCUACCACUGCUUUCAAAUAGCCUCAGAUACCCUCUUGCUGCUCCUGCUGCUCUGUAUGAAAAUGUCUCUUACAUGCUCCUGGAUGCUGAGAUGUUGUCUAAGCUGUUGCCUAAAUCUCCUCUGUUACUGCUGAAUUCUGGUCUAUCUGUGCUCAUUUGCAGCAGCUGGGACUGAUCCAGAGACAUCAGUGAAAUCAUCCACUGGAAGAAACUUUUGAGGAUUAGUAAGACCUUUUCCCAUCUGUGAUGUAAAUGCACAAAAAUCUGUCAGCUCGAUUGUUCUGCUGCAAAGUCUUGCCAUGUGAGGUGUUGAGGCUUAUUUGAUCCAGCAAGCUGGUGCACAUGUUUGUCGAGAUGACACCAUUUUCUUGUUAAGGAGAAACACAAAAAAAAUCACCAGCAUGCCCCAACACCUAAUAUCACUGCUAGUUCCCUGCUGGCCUUGGCCAGAGGAAGUGCUCCAGUUUAGAUGAAUUCCCAAAAUUUCUUGAGGGUUAGGAAAGACAAUAUAACAAUGCUCGCCCUCCCUUCCCAGUGGUGGUCACAACAUCGCUGCUGUUGGAGCCGUGGCAAGAAACUGUGUGUUUAUCUCUCUGGGUUCGGGAGGGUUACUCUGCGGCAGGGAGCUUGACUGUGCACAUUCCUCCGCUCCCAGCUCAUUAUGGGACACUGUUAUUUUGGCAGGUUUUGCAAUCGGGACUGGCAGGCACCCAGGAGUCGGUGUCAAAGCACAUCCCAGCGCUCCUGAGCCAGCAGCUAUGAAAUCUGCUGUUGCAGUGCUGCCCUUGUCAUGGGAAGGGUCUCAGCAGGGGGACAGCAGCAGGUGGCACCUGGCUGAACCCCCCAUUGGCCCCUCUGAACCCCCAGGGCACCCCGUGCUUGCUCCAGCGUGGUGCCCAACCCCUUUGCUCCCUGUCCCAGUCUGCCCAGUGCUCUGCUGCCCUUGCCCAGCCCUCCAUACCCUGCUGCCCACGGCUGAGCAGGUUUUUCAAGCAAAGCUGUGAGCUUGUGUUACUCCUGGUCCCUGGCCGCAACCACGGCUCAUUUCCCUAUCAUAUUGCAUAGGGCUUUAAGAAAAUAUCAAGUUAUUGGUGUAACAUUUCAUGACCAGUCUUUUGACCUCCAUGAAUCUGCAGCAUUUCUUGGGAUAAGGUGGAGCUGAAGGUAGAUGCUCGUGGCCAUUCUCAGGAGGAUCACCAGCAGCCUUGGGGAUUUUGUGGCUGCUCUCAGAAGGGUGAUGAGCAGCCUUGGGGAUUUUUUGACAACAGCAGUUAGUAAAUUUAGGCUUGCAGAAAGAGGCUGGGAUCUCUCGGUCUGGGUACAGGGCCAGGCUCAUGUUACUGAAGCUCCUCUUGGGGAGCACCAGCCAGGUGGCCACUUUGCUGCCUAGUCAAGUGGAAAAUUGCAAAUGCUUCAAAUAGCACUUGGUGUUAUUUUAUUCAUAAAGAAAACACAAUUUGACACAGAUGAGUGCCGCGCUGACCUCUGCCUGUCUUCGCCCAUUCUCCUCCCAAGUCCUCCCAGCAGGGCUGGCCCCAGAAGGCAAGACCAGCCCUCCUGCAGCCUUGAAAACUGGCAAAUCAAGCCCAAUUUCACAGCCUGCCCAGAAAGAAGAGCAGAAAGAGCUAAAGCAGGGAAGCAGCAGCAUGGGAACAGGAGCUCAGCAGAGCCACCAGCCCUGGGGCAGGGACCCCACUGAACUCCCUGCCGAGACCAGAGCAAAUGCUGCUGCAUGGGGCGCUGGCUGCUGGGGAGAUGGAGCGUGACGCACCCGACCUUAGCCGAAAAUUUCCUGCAGAUUAAUGACAGCAAUCAGUGAGGGGGCUCAGCCCUGCGGCAGCCAGCACACAAGGCUCAUUUGUCAGCAUUCAAGCUGACUGCGAAGCCCAACGUCCCAUGGCUAAGGGCACAGGGAGGCUCUUGGCAGCUCUAUAGCACAAACCAGAGCAGCACAUCCAUCCAUUGGCAUGGUGCUGCUGAACCUGCUGUUCUCCUGUGGUCCUAAGGAAAUCCUUGCCUGCGGUUCAGUGCUUUUUAAUCUCAUCCCUUGCAACGUGCAGAGCACAUAACACUGCUGUCUGCCAGGGCAGAGCUGAAUUCUCACCCUUCAACCUGUUGGCAAUACUUGCAUUGCCCACCUCAAUGUUGUUGGCACCAGUUAAGUUGUUGCUAUGGAUAAACCAAUUUUCACCUGUCUCAGGAGAUUGUUUUUGCCCUGUACUGUAAGUGUGGUGGCACUGAGGAUACCAAAGACUGCUGUGCUAUUUCUGGAAAUGCUGCUGACUGCAUGGGAAGAGCAUCAGUCACUGGUACAAAAGGGCUCCAGCAGUUUUGGAGAGAAUUGCUGUCAUGCUGCAAAGAGACCAUUAAGAUACCCUGAAGUGCCUUGAAGAAUAGUGUUUUUCAAAAAUGGAGGCUUAUGCCACAUGAAAAAUGGGGACAAUAUUUAUUUCUGGCUGCUUCAGCACAAAGUCAGCUGUCUAGGGAGCCAGGACAGGUAUCACAGCAGGGUGCUGGCAGCUGGUUUUGCACCGUGAAGGAUGCAACAUGGGGGCAGCUGAUCCAGUGCAGCUGCAGAAGCAGCAGUGCAGGGUGGGGAAGGCAGACCCUUCAACUGGGGCAGCUGUGUGCCAAUUAGUUCCCUGCCUGCACUGAGCCCAUAUAAAUCCUCCCCGGACAAAAAUGCCAGCCUUUCUGGAGUGGGUUAUAUUAGGUGUUGGAGCUGGUUUACUUGUGCUGUCUGGGAAUUUAGGCUGAAGAGGUAAGGAAUAAAGCUGAGAUCUCUUUCCAGGAGUUAGAGCAACUUACUGUAACAAGCUUGACUUCUGGAGGCUGGGAUGCUACAGAGUUUUUAAUAUUAUCUUAAAAAAACCUCAAGCCUAUGAAAGUCUGGAGCAGUGCAUCUGUUUAAUCAGAUUUCCCAAAUGUCACCACCUAUGAGACUUCAGAGGGUUGAAAAAGGAAAGAAGAGGCAGGAUAAAGUAAUCUUAGAGGGCUUCUGUGGAGGUCUGGGGACCAGCCCUGGCCCAGCUCUCUGCUCUGGGCUGUGCUGUGUCAGAAGAGAGGGCUUAGAGGUGUUUGCUGUGUCAAGAGCCUGAGAUGUUGUUUUCUGGGCAUGUGUUACCCAGAAAUGGGCUUUUCAUCAGUGAUCUCCCCACUCUCACAAGGCACUUAUGGACUUGCACGAUGUGCAAAGUCAUCAGCUCUUGUUCCUGGCCCUCUGAACCAAGGCUUGUUGCAGGCAGCACGUGGCAAACCCUUCUCCCCAACAGCGCAAUGCUUCAGGACACCGAAAUGUUGCAGUUCCCAGUUGCCAUCUGAUUUUUGGAUUUGCUCCUGGAGCCAGUACCGCCAAACAACUGAUGGCAUUCAGUGGCUGUCGGUGGGACUUGUUCUGUUCGUGGGCCUUGGCACUCACAGCUCCUCUUGCUGAAAGCAAAGUGGCAGCCCUAGCCAGUGAGUGGGGACAGCCACUGCUCCAGCGGGCAGGGUCCCUCGAGGGCUUUUGUGCUGGCUGGGCACAAGGAUGCUUUGAUAGAGCUCACAUGGACACCAGCUGCUGGCUUUCUGAAAUAGGGAGAGCCACGAAAAUCCCGCUGUGCGUGCUGGUCUGGUGGGCACAAUGGAGCUCUGCCUCUAAGGGCUGUGUCCCUGUGAUGUUCCCUCUUGCACGAGGGGCUGCUGGACCACGGAACCUGUCCUGAGUUCACAAGCUGAUGCAUUUCAUGCCUCUUUCUCUUGCUACAGUUAAGCUUUUCUGUUCCCUCUGGGAGCGAUUUGGGCCUCGUUUGUCUCGUUUGUCAUCUUGGUUUUGAAGCAGUUUCAAUUCCAGAUGCUGCCCAUGCUGGUAACUGCAGGGAAGGUACUGGUGAUAGCAGGUCCCAGGACCACAUCCUUCAGCCUCAUGUGAUCCGUGUCCCCAUACCAGGAUAGCCACAGUGCUGGUCCCUUCAUGGCAGUUUCUUCCCUGUGCUCUGCUUCUCUGGCAUGGAACAGCCAUUUUCUCAUGAUGAACCUCUCCUCUGCAAGUCACCAACACAGCUCCUCUUGUUCUGCUUACUGUCACCUGUGCUUUCCAAAACAAGGGCCUGGGAUUUUUUUGUAGCCUGGAUAAGAGUUUCUAAGUUCUUGAAUGGCAAAAACCAGCUUUAUGGUCAAUCUGGAUCUUUCAUUUAACAAUAUAGAUUAAAAAAAAAUCCCUCUAGAUGUUGCCUUGGCAUUUUGGAGCUCUGCUCCCCAUUGGACCAUGGUUUUCACAGCCAGCACUAGUCAAGAGAAAAGACAGUGCUGAGCAUGGUGGAUGCUGCUUUAGCUGGAGUCACCCUGAAUGUGUAGGCUUGGUGCUGGGGUGAUUCCAAGCAGGAUACGUGCAUGUGGAGCUGAACUGUCAGGGUUAGUCCCAUGAGAGGGAUGUCUGGUUUGGGAUUUCACCUGUGUGGGGGGAUCUGGGGAAGUGAGUCCCUUGCUCGAUGUUAAGUGAUUCUGGGAAAAUCACUGCUGCUUCCUGCCUCCUUGAGGAUGGGUGGAAAAUCCAUAGAAUCACAACUUUUAUAUUUUACUCUCUCCCUGUACUGUGAGAGCAGCAAACAGAUGCCUUUAAAAACUGAGAUCAUUCUCAUGACAGCCAAGAUAACUGAGUUCUACAGAGAAGUUUAGUAGGAGUAUGACCCUGUUAUCAUGAGCCCAGAGCUGGUGGAAGGGCAGUGGCACUUAUCUACCUGUUUGAGAGCCUCCUCCUGCUAACAACAGAAUUAUUUCCCCUCCCACCCUUUUGUAGAGGAAUAUUUUGGGACUUGUUCUUUAUUCUGGAGCUGAAGUGUUGAUUUUUGUAGCCUUCACCUCUGUUAUUGUGUGAAUAAUGCGUGUGAUUGCUGAAAAGAGAACUCUAUGAAGUGCAGCUCAGUGUGUUGGUGGAGCAGGUUGGCAGAAGCCAAAGUUGAUUGGAAAUAGGGGCAGCUGAGGUACACGGUGCAUGUCGUGGGCCACCUCCCCUUUGCCCUGAAGAGAAGGGUGGAUGACGGAGCAGUAAGUGCAUCAUCCCAUGGGAGCUGGGACACAGGCACUUCUCUGGCCGGGCUGUGGGGAUGCCCUCAUAAGUGGGGUGAGUUGUGUCCGUGGGGAAAUCCCACCAGCAGCUCCCAAAAACGCCGGUCCUCUCCUUCUGCAACGCUCAGAUGAAGGAGUUUUAAAGGAUGCUCUCAAAGCCCCAGUUUUCGGCAUGGUCAGCCAGGUACUGUGGUUUGCCUGGACAAGCGGAGCCUCUCCCUGGCACUGGCGUGCUGCCUGUUGUUGUUUUAAAUGAACUGCAGAGCAAAGCUCCUCACUGGGCAGUGAGGCUAAUCUCAGCUCAUCUGACAUUAGUGUAAACUGACACUCUUGGGAAUUUGGGGACAGAAAACUUUCCCUGGGGAAGCGGCUGCUAUGCAAACCCUGUCUUGAGAAACAGGGGAGAAAAGCAGCGGAGAGGUGCAGGUGCCUGGAAACAGCCCCUUCCUUUAUUGGAGGGUCUGGAGUAUCUGCCCUGCCACCCUGGGAGCUGCUGCUGGGGAGGCUGCGCUUGCAGGGCUAUUUGAAGGCAGUUUGCUGUGGUUAGAGGGAUGUUAGCCUAAUCAGCACCAGCUCUGCAACACCCCUAAACCAGCCCCUGUCGAGUCCUUGCCUCACAGCAAAGGGUGUCCUGGAAGGGGACGGUGUCCUGCUGGAGCCCUGCUGUUUGCUUGUACCCAUGGGACACGGUGAUACCAGAACAGGUUUUUUUUGGGAGCAGCUGCAGCCUUUGAAAGUAGAAAUGUCCUUGGAGCCACGCUGGCAGCCUUUCCGGCCCCUUUUGUUGUGGAGCUGGGGAUUGCCUUGCACUCCACAAUCCACUACUGUAAUCCCCUUGGAGUGCUGCUCUGGUCUAAGUUUAAAAGGGGUGCAGCCGAGACUGCUAAUGCAGGCAGCACUGGCGAGGGGUGCUGAGCCUUCCUCGUGCUCUGUGUUCCCGUGCGGGUCCCCUCUGGGCUGUAGCUGGUGGAUGGGUCGUGCUGGCAGAGCCCUUGAUGUGACUGUGCCCUGAGUAGGCUGGUUUUACAUUGGUUAGGGGAAACAGAGCUCUUCUGCUCAUCACUUAGACCUGACCUGGUACUCGGGGAGGGCUGGAGCCUGCUGUUCAUGCCCACUCUGGCAAUGCAGCAGAAGGAGCUGCCUUGUUUCCAUCCCCCAUCACCUUCAGUCACAGGGUACAGCACCGACCCAGCAGCUGCCACAGAUGUCCCUGCUGGUUGACAGACGUGUGGUGGCACAAGCUCUUGUCAACCUAGGCAAUGUUUGGGAGGCUGUGACAGGAAUGAAAUCUCUGACUUUUUGAUGCCAAUUAAGGUAAAACUGUCUUGGAGCUUUUUUGGGGCUGCCAGCAAGCCAAGGGUGAGCUGGCGCAAUGGGAGAGUCCGAGCUCCCAGGAGUGUUUCAAAGCCACUCAGUGCUGGGCUGUGGUGGAAUUGUGGUGUUUUGGAAAGGGGGAGCAAUGGGGAGAUCUGUCCAAAAACCAUCCGGUUUGGGGGUCGAGAGGCUGUCAUAGAUUGCAUUGAAUGCAGCAGGGCUGAACUGCUUGGCGCUGAGCCAAGCUUGACCUAACCAGCUUAUUUCCUUGCUUUCAGUAAUGCCCGUGCACAUGUGCCAAAGCCUGAAGGUCACAGCCACGUGAGGAAUGGUCUGGGCAUUAACUGUGGUCAGAAUGUGGCUCCUCCCAAGUUUGCCAUCAUAUUCCUGAGCCCCGGGAAUGCCACAUCCCCCCAGCCUGGCUGCAGCCCCCCUGUGUGCCUUGGAUGGGUGCAGGAGAAACUGAGGCUGGCUGGGAGCAGCACCUCCUGUGCCUGGCACUUCUCUGAGGUCCAGAAAAACAGGUAGAUGUUUGCUCAUCCCAUGUCAGCCCCAGUUGCCCUCCUGGCUGUCAGCAGCUGCCAGCAGGUGGCUUUUUUGUGUGUUUCCCCUGUACCAGUGUCUAGCUCUGGUUUUGGAAGAAAGCCAUGCUCUGCUGAGCAUGCAGGGUCCCUCUUGGUGUAAACAGUCGCAGUUGUCCCUGUUGCAAGAGAAGUUACUGACCUAGUGUGGUACACAAGCGCAUUUCUCUUGGAGAUCUGGGAGGCAAGUUCCAGAAGUCUAAUAGCAGAUCAGGGCAUCCCAGCCAAAUAGUGGUGAUGCAUCUCUAGGCACUGAUGUCAUCAGACGUGAAGACAAAAUGACAUCUAACAGAAUCCUCAGCACAACCCUCUCUAGCCACCUCUGGGUGGCUCUGACUCCGUAAAACCCCGUUUCCUUUUGGAGCUGUUUGGGUGCUCUCCUUGGGUGAUUUGGAGGAGAGGGAGAUGCGUGUGGGUGCCAUGGGACCUGGCCCAGCUCCUCCCCAUCCCAGGAAGGAGCUGGCAGAAAUUCACAAGCCACGGAAUACUUGGGGCUCAUUCUGCACCACAUCUGUGGGAGACAUCCCACAGGCUGCUGGACAUGCUCAGAGCAAGCCUGAUGUUUCUCCCCAGAAAGCCAAACUUUGCCUAUCCUAGUGCAAUGCUCUCACCCCUGCCUUGCUGUCCUGAAAGCCCUGGCAGGCCCAGAUGCUGAGCCCAUCAGGUGGAAUUACUUAAUCUGUCACUGAUGAGUGACAGACGCACCCGGGAGCAGGUCACUUCUCUCUAAUCCCUUGCUGCCAUCACCUGCCUUAACACGCAUGGGGCAAAACAAACAACAUGUGAGCAGAUGGCGCCUUGUCCAUCAUCCCACCACCACUUCAGCAGCCCCCAAAAUACAGCCCCCUUACCUUUUUCCCGUGAGCUGCCCCCAUGGUCUGACGUGUUGGCUGUGCCCUGCGCACUUGGGGUGAGGGACUGGCUGGCUGCCCGUGGUCACCGUCCCCGUUACUCCUGGGGGGAUGUGUGGCUGUGCAGCUCUCGGCCCCUCCGCAGCUGCUGCGGGGAGAUGUGGGUGAAAUUCAGCCUGUCUGCAGCAGGGUCGGGCGGGAAAUCUUGCUUUUCCUCCCUUCUCCCAGCACGUGGAGAACUCAUUUUCUUCGUGCACCUAACGUCUGGCUCGCACCCAGGCUCUGCCCAGGCACAAAGGCAGCUUUCAUGCUGUGGAUGCCCGGUUUCUAAGCCGGGAUCUGUAUUUUGAGAGGCUGUGGAAGAUUACAGUAAUUGCACUUGACAGGGCAAGAUGUCACAGGACGCGGAUUCGCCCGGCUGCGGGGCCCCGGCACCCGUCGGUCCUUGCCGGUGGCAUCCUUCCUAGCUGCUCCUUGGGUGCUUUGCCGAAAUAAAUCCAUACCACCAAAAUAAAGGAGGAUUAUCCCUCUGCUGCCCGUCCACAUCCUGGCUCUUGGCUCUUCUUGCAGCACUGGAUUUUGCAAACUUUGUUCCUGCAAGUGCCCUGGGCUGCCCGUUUGCUGCUGGAGCCCACCAAGACCCCCGGUGAGCCCAGGGUACCCUGAGUUGUGUCCUGGGAGGCUGGGCAGGUCAGGGCUUGUGUUUGCUGAAGUCUUGGGGGAUGUGGCACCGUGAUAACCAGCCAGGUAGGUGCCUGUGUCUGCACUAAUACAGCUUUCAAAAUGCCAGGGCACUAAAAAAACCUCAUUUGGGGAUUGCUGUCCCCGCACCCACCACCCUUUUCAGAUCUUUUUUAAAAAAUUAGCAGGUUAAAUUUGACUCCUGAAGCCUUAUCUAUACCCCUGCCUCCCAGAUUCUGGACUUUUGAAAAUCUUCCAUUUAUUUCUCAGGACACUGUGACUUUGGCAGGAAUGGCUCCUCAAAACACUGGCUGAUGAUUAAGGUGCCAUAGGAGUGGCACUUUUCGCUCUCCCUAUUUAUUGAAAAUAGUGGUGUACCUUAGUAACUGCUCAGCGAUAGAUUCAAAGCUAGUUUUAACUGUCUGUAGCGUGCUGAAACAUAAGUUUUCUUUGUUUUGGCUUUCAACCAGAUUUCUAACGUGCAUUGCAAAGGGCCAGGCUGAAAGGUGCCGGGUGUUUUCCGGGCUGUAGCCGAUGCCGUGCGCUGGUUUACCCCAUGCAGCCGCCUUUCCAGCUCUUAGGCUGUUUUCAGUUUGGCUUACAAGUGAAUCUAGAUCCUCUGAGGGGGCUUAAAAUAGUUGGCAUAUUUAUGCUGGCAGUGCAGCAGGGCUGGGUGAUGUGAGGGCUGUUGUGUCUGUUGUGUUGGGUUAUUUCUCGCUGCCAUGGGCUGGGAUGAUUCAGCGCUCAGGAUUAACCGCUGCUGUUGCAGCGGAUUUAGGGAUCGAUUUAUGGCAGAGGCUUCCCUCGGCGUGGUCAGGUGCACGUUUAGAGCGCAGGAGGAUAAGCCGGGAUAAAAUACUACGGCUAUUGAGGGAUUCCUCUGUGAUGGCCAUUUGGGAGUUUUAUUUCAGUUUUGCUUUUGGAAGUUUUUACAGAUGUUGCACAAUUUAUCUUGGGAUUUUUCCUUCUUUAGGGGAAACUGGUUGCCUUGUUGGUUUUGGAUGGUCGUGCCGGGUUUUGGAUCCAGGGUUUCAUCCCUAAGGUGGCCGGUGCAGGACAGGUUGUGUCUCUUCCUGGCCUUAUCCUGCCAACAUUCCCCACUUCUGCUCCCCUGGGGUGACCUGUGGGCUCAGACAACCAAUGUGAACUGUCUGUUAGAAGCUGUGCUGGGGCAAACUCUGCUGUUAAGAGGCAGAAAAGGCUGUGCAGAAGUGCCCCGUGUUGCCCUGCUCCAGCAGAAAUGCUUCAGCCUCACGUUCUGCAAAACUGCUGGUCUGCUUUGAAGAAUGAGGAAAAUACUGAUACAAUCAUAGGAAAUUAAAGUCUGUAUAUGAUGCAAAUUUGUCCCUGUCCAUGAUGACAGAUAAGCCUGGGCCAUUGCUCACACGCUUUAUCAGAUCUCAGCAGUGCUCGUGCUUGGGGAGGCUUUGGGCACAGACGGGUGAAUACACCCAGACACGAGUUGGUGGCAGAUGCUCCCCCAGGACCUCCUCGACAUUGGGCAGCAGGAUGGGAACCAUCCUGGAAGGAGGUCUGCGGGGCUUUGCUGGCCUGCUUUUGGGCAGGAAUCUCUCCUGUUCCACAGGGUCGGCCAGCAGUGUUGGGGUACAGCUCCCCGAGCAAAGUGGCUGUGGGGGUGCCAGCUCUGGUGUAUUGUAUCCCUCCAGGGUGAUGCUGGCUCCAGCUCUCCUGGUAAAAGGCUCCCACCUAUCGGUUGUGCUGCACAAUUUCAGCUGCCUGAGAAACCUGCACAUCCAUCCCUCCUCCCUUUUUGCUGGCCAAAGUCGGAUUGGCGCAUCCCUGGUGUUAUCACAACCUUUGGGGGACCUGUCGUGGGGGCUUAAACUCUGAUUUAAGCCAGGAAGGAUGCAAUUGGGUGGGGGAAAUGCUUUGGUCUGUGAAUAUUACCCUGCAUUGCUGCAAACCAUCCCUGUGGCCACCGGGCCUUAUUGUGGCUGUAGGAGACAGUGUGUGCGGGGGUGACAAGAGAUCCAGGGGGAACCCACCAAGGUCUGAGCAUCCCCAGGGAUGACCUUACCCUGUGCCAUGUGGGGAGGGGAGCAGCUGUGUGCGGUGCUGUGGUGAUGGUGAUACCUGGCUGGUGGCAGAGGACAUGGCAAUGUCCAGGAAAAGCCGGGAUUAUGCUUGAAAAUGGAAGCGAGAAGGUAGUGUCUUAUAAUAGAUAUCUUAUUUAAGAAAUCCGAAAAACCUCCUACAAAGUUUUUGGUUUGAAGACAGAAAAAAUAGCCCAAAUUUGACCCAUAGAUGAGGACAACUCGGCUCAAACCUGGCCAGGUGUUUGCUCGGGCUCUACGGGUGCUUGUACAGCCCUUCUCCAAGCCCUGUGCAGCCCCUGCUGUGACACGGCUGGUCCCUGGAGUGAACAGCUGCUGCUGGGCUGGGGUCCCUGCGGUGGGGCUGGGGUCCCUGUGAGACUGGUCUCGCCUUCAUGGCAGACUGGGACUUGAUGUUAAUCCAUCUUCCUGGGGACACAGCCUUCCAUCUCCAGCAUCUCAGGCCAGCCCU